CAUUUCUUUUUAAAAAAAAACCUAAAUCUCACCUCUCUCUCGUAUUCUCUCUCUCACCUCAUCCCCUUUGAAGCCGCCUGCCCACUGCUCAGAGAGUGGACGACGACGGUGAUUCGCUGCCCAGCGAUUAGAAGACGACGGAGACGACGACAUCUUCUCCCCUACUCGCUGACGACGACGGCCAUCUCCUCCCUAAGUAGGGGACGGCAUCUUCACCAACGACGGAAGCGACACAGCUCCUCCCUCCCCAACGACGACACAGCUCCUGCCUACCCAACGACGACACAUCUUCUCCCUCGCAAACGGCAGCAACUCAGGUAAAUUUCCCUUCUAUUUUGCUGUAGUCAUGGAUCCAACUCCCUUUCAACCUACCCUGCGGCCACCUUGGAUCCCUAUGGUACCGCCUAAUCAACCAAGCUCGAUUGCCUUUUGGGAAACCAGAAACGUGCUUCAUAGCCUUAAAGAUUUACAUGACACUGUCAGUCUUGCGAAAUCGAUGUGUAAAGAACUUGAAAUGUUGAUGGUGGUUAAAGAUGUUAAAGGGUCUGUAGAAGUAGAUAAUGAUGAUUCACUUAGCGGGAUUUUCAAUAUAUUGAAAGAUAGAAGGGUUGGUACGGAAUCCCAAGUUUCACUUUCAGUGGAAACGACAAAUGCUCUGAUGUGUAGACUAAGAGCUCAACUUGAACCAUUUAGGGCGAUUAAUGAUGAACUGUAUCCAUGGGAAGAAAAAUGUGCUGCUAUUAGGUUAUCUAAUAAAAUGAAGAAGUCGAAACGAAAUAAACGUUGGAGGAAGAGAAAGAGGAAGCUCAUUGCAGAAAUGCAUGCGAAGGAGCGUGAAAGGUUUGACCAAGCUGAUCAAGAAGCUGAUGAGUGGAGGGCUAGGGAAAUUGCCAAUGAUACUGCAAAACGCAAGGUGGAGAAGAUGAAAGAGAUUGCAAAGCUGAAAGCAAAAGAGGAGAGAAAGAGGCUAGAAUCUGAGCUUGAGCUGGUAUUGAUUGUGGAGAAACUGCAAGAGUUACGCUCAAUUAGGAUUCAAAAGUUGAAAAAACAAGGUCAUUUUCUUCCUGAGGAGGAUGACAAGUUUCUGGAGAGGGUGCAAGCUGCAGUCGAGGAAGAGGAACGUCAGGCAAUUGCAGCAGCUGAUACAGAGGCUGCAAAGGGUGCCAUUGCAACUGCUGAAGAAUCUAGGAAAGCAACCCAUAAUCUUGGGCCCGAAUCAAAAGAAAUAAGCCCUAAUGAAGAUAAUGAUCAGGAACCUCUGGUUAAAAAGGAUCAGAAAUCUAGUGUGAACAUGGAGAAAGAACCCGGGAAGCAAUCACUAGAAACACAAGUCUAUGAUUCUGUUGCUAACUUGCCAAUUGAAUUCUAUCACUAUUAUCAUGGGAGCAAUAUUGAUAUAGGCACCCUUAUUGAGGUGAGAAGAACUUGGGAUGCCUACAUAAGACCAGGAGGAAGCCGCAUACCAGGGCACUGGGUUCAACCGCCACCUCCUGCGAAUGAGAUUUGGGCUUCGUAUUUGAUGAGAGGUCAAAAUGAUACUAACCGACUCAUGAUCAAAAUAUACAGAUUGAGUAAAGAAAAUGGAUCAUUGAAACAUAAUUUUGAAUCAACAACUGCAGCUUUAAAUGUGUCUAGAAAUGAAAGUCACAAGGUCUCAUCAAAUGGAGCAAGUUUUUUGACGGAGAAUUCACCCAAUCGGCAAACAUAAAUUCACAAGUCAAGCAAAAAACAGAUUCUGGAAAUCAAUUGCAUAAUGAUGUUGUCUCUAAACAGGAUGGAGUGAACAAUGUAUUUACAAAUGAGAGUUAUUUGCGGCAUAACCUCCUUAAGUGGUCAGGUAUUUGCAACUAACCCCCAAUUCUAAAAUUUUGGUGGUAAAACCCCUAAGCCCAGCUUCUGUUAGCAGUUCGCCCUUUCCGUCCAUUUUUGGGUGUUAAAGUGACAAGUUGGAAUGUCUACGUGUACACGUGGCACAAUUUAAUUAGUCCACGUAAUAAAUAUUUAAAAUUAAAAUAUAAAAAAUUAAUUAUUUUAAAAAUAAAAAAUAAAUAAAAUAUUUUUAUUUAAAAAUCAAAAAAUUUAUUUUUAUAUAUAUAUAUAUAUUUUUUUUCUUUUCUUUCUCUUUUCUUUCUUCAUGCCUCCUUCUUCUUCUCUCUCUAACUUCUUCAUCUUUGAAAUCCUAGUCCCCAAAAUCAGCCCCAGCAAACCCCAGCCGACUCUCCAUUCUAGCUCCACGCACAGCCAACCAAUCUCAUCCCCAGCUCCCUAAAAAAUCUCACUCAGGUCUCUCCAACAUUGUUGAUUUUCCCCGCCUAAACUACGUGCUAACACCCAAAUUUAAAUUUAAAUGACGAUAUUUGUCGUCUUUUUUACCAAAGCGAAAUGAAACCUAAAGCCAUGGAGGAGGGGCAGGGUUGCUCGGAACCGGAGACGAACUGUAUGGAGAUUGAGACCAACGCCGAUUCUAUCGACAGCUCAAUGAUCUUCCAUGCCAUUAACGAUGUCUCCGGAUUCCUUCUCUACAUGCACCAACAAAUCCCUUCGUAAGUUUCCUUCUCUGAGAAAUCAUACCAAAACCCGACACCUAAAUGAUUCGAAUUGUGUGAUUGCGGCAUGUUUGGUUUCUCGGAAAGUUGAGAGUAAAAUUCAUGCUUCCUUGACGUUUUCUAUAUAUUUCCUGUAAGCAAAAAUCUGAUGUCGCUUUCUUUUUACGUAUUGUCUUGCAAGAUAUAACUCUCGAAUUCGAGAAAUGGUGCAAAGAGUAUAGUAAAUUGGUAUAUUUGUGAGAGUAGAUUUUCCAAAAUCGAAUUUGGAUUUGUUCUUUUUCUUUGAAGAAUUAGGGAGCUAGGGCUGAGAUUGGUUGGCUGUGCGUGGAGCUGGAAUGGGGAGUCGGUUAGGGUUUGAUGGGGCUGAUUUUGGGGGCUAGGGUUUCAAAGAUGAAGAAGUUAGAGA